GACAACUGUAGGCAUGUUUCAGUUUUAUGACUUCAUUAGCAAACCAUAAACAUUAGCAUACUUGACAAUGUAUUGUUGAUUCACCAAAUAUUUAUAAAGACACACAGACAUGUUAAUUCAUUUGCCAUUACAAAACACAAUGUCUUAGUCUGGAUGUUCUCAUGUCUGACAUAAGGUUGGUCGUGUCGUAAGUCUCUGGUGGGUCUGGUUCUGCUGUAGUGGUGGUCACAGACUGGAGGGGAUAAACGAAGUAUUUCUUGAUAACCGUUUCCAUAAAAAUGUCUAAUUUGCCACUUGUAUGUUGCUCUGUUGUUUCUUCUAGACAUCAUAAAUAACAAUGUGUCACGCAUGGGAAUCUUUGUACUACAAUAUGCUAUCAGAUUGAAACAGUAUCAAUGCUUGGGAAAUCGAUUUUCUUUAGACUACCUCUCACCUGGCUACCAUCAACCUAUUGGUUACAUCACAUCUUUACUACAUAACCACCAUCGUUAGCAUUUAAUGUAUAAAGUUAUCUUAUCGUUCA